rnacentral:rRNA from 1 species
UACGUAGGGUGCAAGCGUUAAUCGGAAUUACUGGGCGUAAAGCGUGCGCAGGCGGUUUUGUAAGUGUGUCGUGAAAUCCCCGGGCUUAACCUGGGAAUGGCGAUGGUGACUGCAAGGCUAGAGUUUGGCAGAGGGGGGUAGAAUUCCACGUGUAGCAGUGAAAUGCGUAGAGAUGUGGAGGAACACCGAUGGCGAAGGCAGCCCCCUGGGUCAAGACUGACGCUCAUGCACGAAAGCGUGGGGAGCAAACAGG